rnacentral:rRNA from 1 species
CCUACGGGUGGCUGCAGUGGGGAAUAUUGCGCAAUGGGCGAAAGCCUGACGCAGCGACGCCGCGUGAGGGAUGAAGGUCUUCGGAUCGUAAACCUCUGUCAGCAGGGAAGAACGGUCACUGUGCUAAUCAACAGUGAAUUGACGGUACCUGCAAAGGAAGCACCGGCUAACUCCGUGCCAGCAGCCGCGGUAAUACGGAGGGUGCGAGCGUUAAUCGGAAUUACUGGGCGUAAAGCGCUCGUAGGCGGUAUGUCAAGUCAAGGGGGAAAUCCCCGGGCUCAACGUGGGGACUGCCUUUGAAACUGGCAAACUGGAGUGUGUGAGAGGAUAGUGGAAUUCCAGGUGAAGGAGUGAAAUCCGUAGAUAUAUGGAGGAACAUCAGUGGCGAAGGCGACUAUCUGGCACAUAACUGACGCUGAGGAGCGAAAGCGUGGGUAGCAAACAGGAUUAGAUACCCCAGUAGUC